GACAGAGGGUGCAAACGUUGCUCGGAAUUACUGGGCGUAAAGCGCGUGUAGGUGGACCAGCAAGUCAGGCGUGAAAUCCCUAGGCUCAACCUAGGAACUGCACCUGAAACUGCUGGUCUUGAGUGGUGGAGAGGAAAGCAGAAUUCCUGGUGUAGAGGUGAAAUUCGUAGAUAUCAGGAGGAACACCGGUGGCGAAGGCGGCUUUCUGGACACUUACUGACACUGAGACGCGAAAGCGUGGGGAGCAAACAGG
rnacentral:rRNA from 1 species